rnacentral:rRNA from 1 species
CUGUACAAAGGUAGCAUAAUCAUUAGUCUUUUAAUUGAAGACUUGUAUGAAGGAUUUGAUGAAAUAUAAACUGUCUCUAGUUUAAGAAUAAAAAUUAAUUUUUUAAUUAAAAAGUUAAAAUGAUAUUAAAAGACGAGAAGACCCUAUAAAGUUUUAUAAUUUAUUUAUUUAUUUUUAACUAUAAAAAUAAACAUGAUAAUUAAUGUGAAUUAUUUUAUUGGGGUGAUAGAAAAAUUAAAUAAACUUUUUUUAAGUUGAAACAUUAAUAAAUGAGAGAUUGAUCCAUCACUGAUGAUUAAAAGAAAAAAUUCUUUAGGGAUAACAGCGUAAUAUUUUUUUUUAGUUCAGAUNAAAAAAAAAGUUUGCGACCUCGAUGUUGGAUUAAGAUAAAAUUUAAAUGCAAAAGUUUAAAAUUUUGAUCUGUCCGAUCAUUAAAAUCUUACAUGAUCUGAGCU